GGAUGUGAGGGUAACCUAGCUGCGAUGUCUGUCACUUCAUGGACUACCAGGGCUGGUUCUGCUGAUCUGGCUGACUAGGAAGGUGUCUCCUUUCUCCCUCACCACACUAUGUGCAUCCUUCCAUAAGCUACAUAUUAGGUCAAAGAGGAUGACCUUCCCCAAAUAGAGGAGGAUUGCUGUUCUUCGUCAUGGGUAUUUGAAUGCUGCACUCCUUGCUACAACCUCCAAACAAACUCUCAAGAAAGCAGCAUCCAUCCUCACAGCUAAAAGAUAUUUGACUAGAUUAAAACACAAGCCUGUCACAAAUUGUCCUUU
rnacentral:snRNA from 1 species